rfam:Gossypium hirsutum cultivar TM-1 unplaced genomic scaffold scaffold445.1, whole genome shotgun sequence
UGUUAAAAAUUUUAUCAAUUUUUAUUAUUUAAAACUAGCACGACUGACGAAAUAAUCAGACAAUUAUAUGUGAUAUGCCACAUAUACUUCAUGCUUACAUACAAAAACCAGUUUUUAACAGUAUAAAUAGAUGGAAUUUUUAAUA